rnacentral:rRNA from 1 species
AUAAGCACUUGUACUGUGAAACUGCGAAUGGCUUAUUAAAUCAGUUAUCGUUUAUUUGAUUGUACUUUACUACAUGGAUACCUGUGGUAAUUCUAGAGCUAAUACAUGCGAAAAAUCCCGACUUCACGGAAGGGAUGUAUUUAUUAGACUAAAAACCAAUGCGGGUCUCGGCCCGUUUUCUUGGUAAUUCAUGAUAACUUUUCGAAUCGCAUGGCCUUGCGCCGGCGAUGUUUCAUUCAAAUUUCUGCCCUAUCAACUGUCGAUGGUAAGGUAGUGGCUUACCAUGGUUGUAACGGGUGACGGAGAAUUAGGGUUCGAUUCCGGAGAGGGAGCCUGAGAAACGGCUACCACAUCUAAGGAAGGCAGCAGGCACGAAAAUUACCCAAUCCCGAUUCGGGGAGGUAGUGACAAGAAAUAACGGUACGGGGUCUUUAUAGGUCUCGCAAUCGGAAUGAGAACAAUUUAAAUCCUUUAACGAGGAUCAAUUGGAGGGCAAGUCUGGUGCCAGCAGCCGCGGUAAUUCCAGCUCCAAUAGCGUAUAUUAAAGUUGUUGCAGUUAAAAAGCUCGUAGUUGGAUUUCGGAGCGGGCCCGUCGGUCCACCGCAAGGUGAGCUACUGGCGGGUCUGUUCUUCUUCGCAAAGACUGCAGGUGCACUUCACUGUGUGUCUGUCGGAUUUGCGACGUUUACUUUGAAAAAAUUAGAGUGUUCAAAGCAGGCUUUCGCUUGAAUACAUGAGCAUGGAAUAAUGGAAUAGGACUUUGGUUCUAUUUUGUUGGUUUCUAGGACCGAAGUAAUGAUUAAGAGGGACAAUUGGGGGCAUCCGUAUUUCGUUGUCAGAGGUGAAAUUCUUGGAUUUACGAAAGACGAACAACUGCGAAAGCACUUGCCAAGAGUGUUUUCAUUAAUCAAGAACGAAAGUUAGAGGAUCGAAGACGAUCAGAUACCGUCCUAGUUCUAACCAUAAACGAUGUCGACUAGGGAUCAGCGGGCGUUAUUGUACGACCCCGUUGGCACCUUACGGGAAACCAAAGUUUUUGGAUUCCGGGGGAA